AUACGUAGGGGGCAAGCGUUAUCCGGAUUUACUGGGUGUAAAGGGAGCGCAGACAGCAGAGCAAGUCUGAUGUGAAAGCCCGGGGCUCAACCCCGGAACUGCAUUGGAAACUGCUGAGCUUGAGUGUCGGAGGGGUAAGCGGAAUUCCUAGUGUAGCGGUGAAAUGCGUAGAUAUUAGGAGGAACACCGGUGGCGAAGGCGGCUUACUGGACGAUCACUGACGUUGAGGCUCGAAAGCGUGGGGAGCAAACAGGAUUAGAUACCCUGGUAGUCCACGCUGUAAACGAUGAAUACUAGGUGUGGGUGUGCACUGCACAUCCGUGCCGCAGCUAACGCAGUAAGUAUUCCACCUGGGGAGUACGUUCGCAAGAAUGAAACUCAAAUGAAUUGACGGGG
rnacentral:rRNA from 1 species